rnacentral:rRNA from 1 species
UAGGGAAUCUUCCACAAUGGACGCAAGUCUGAUGGAGCAACGCCGCGUGAGUGAAGAAGGCUUUUCGGGUCGUAAAACUCUGUUAUUGAAGAAGAACGUGUGUGACAGUAACUGGUCAUGCAGUGACGGUAUUCAAUCAGAAAGUCACGGCUAACUACGUGCCAGCAGCCGCGGUAAUACGUAGGUGGCAAGCGUUGUCCGGAUU